rnacentral:rRNA from 1 species
UCAAGCGAACAAGGGCGCAGGGCGAAUGCCUUGGCACUGGGAGCCGAUGAAAGACGUGAUAAGCUGCGAUAAGCUUCGGGGAGCUGCAAAUAAGCAUUGAUCCGGAGAUUUCUGAAUGAGGAAACUCACCUGGGUUCAUACUCAGGUACGUUAUACUGAACUUCAAAAUAGGUAUAUCGAGGGAACCGCCUGAACUGAAACAUCUAAGUAGGGCGAGGAAGAGACAUCAAACGAGAUUCCGUAAGUAGUGGCGAGCGAACGCGGAAGAGGGCAAACCGAGAGUAGAAAUACUUUCGGGGUACGGACUGCUUUUAGGACUUAAUCUGUUAACCGAACGGCAUGGGAAGGCCGGUCAGAGAGUGUGAGAACCACGUAGGUGAAAACGGAAAGAGCUGCGCAGGAUCCAGAGUACGGCCAGACACGUGAAACCUGGUCGGAAUACGGGGGGACCACCCUCCAACCCUAAAUACUACCCAGUGACCGAUAGCGUAUAGUACUGUGAAGGAAAGGUGAAAAGCACCCCGGGAGGGGAGUGAAAAAGAACCUGAAACCCUGUGCCUACAAGCACCUAGAGCGCGUCAAAGCGUGAUAGGGUACUUUUUGUAGAACGGUCCGGCGAGCGAUUGUAUGCAGCAAGGUUAAGGACUUAAGGUCUGGAGCCGAAGCGAAAGCGAGUUUGAAAAGGGCGUUAAGUUGCAUAUAAUGGGCCCGAAACCGGGUGACCUACCCAUGGUCAGGUUGAAGUGGAAGUAAAAUUCCAUGGAGGACCGAACCGACCUCCGUUGAAAAGGCGGCGGAUGAACUGUGGGUAGCGGAGAAAUUCCAAUCGAACCCGGAGAUAGCUGGUUCUCCCCGAAAUAGUUUUAGGACUAGCCUCAAGUUAGAUACCUGGAGGUAAAGCACUGAAUAGCCUAGCGGCCGAGAGGUUAGCGAAGCUUAUCAAACUCAGAAUGCCAGAGUAUUGAUGCUUGGGAGUCAGACAGUGUCAGAUAAAUGUCAUUGUCAAAAGGGAAACAGCCCAGAUCUACAGCUAAGGUCCCAAAGUCAGGUUAAGUGGAAAACGAUGUGAAGAUACGCAGACAACCAGGAUGUUGGCUCAGAAGCAGCCACUCAUUCAAAGAGUGCGUAAUAGCUCACUGGUCGAGCGUCUUUGCGCGGAGAAUUUAACGGGGCUAAACCUGACACCGAAGCUUAGGCAAUACAGUAAUGUAUUGGGUAGGGGAGCGUUGUAUACGCGGUGAAACAGUAGCGCAAGCGGCUGUGGAGUGUAUAGAAGUGAGAAUGCCGGAAUGAGUAGCGCGAAUGCAGUGAGAAUCUGCAUGGCCGAAAGCCUCAGGUUUCUGGAGGAAGGUUCGUCCGCUCCAGGUUAGUCGGGAGCUAAGGUGAGGCCGGAAGGCGUAGCCGAUGCACAGACGGUAGAGAUUCCGUCACCACCAAAAGAGUUAAGCACAGGGACACAUUUGAAGUCUCAGAGCCGGGUGUUGGUUCCGGUAGAGAUCGAGGGAAAUUAGUACCGAAGUCUGAGAUGGAAGAUGGCGAGAAAAGCUGUGUGUAUUUCUGAGGUGCCCGUACCGCAAACCGACACAGGUAGGUAGGAAGAAGAUUCUAAGGCCAACGGGAGAAGGGUUGUUAAGGAACUCGGCAAAUUGACCCCGUAACUUCGGGAGAAGGGGUGCUCCAGAGAUGGAGCCGCAGAGAAUCGGCCCAAGCAACUGUUUACCAAAAACACAGGUUUGUGCUAAAUCGAAAGAUGACGUAUACGAGCUGACGCCUGCCCGGUGCUGGAAGGUUAAGAGGAGAUGUGCAAGCAUUGAAUCGAAGCCCCAGUGAACGGCGGCCGUAACUAUAACGGUCCUAAGGUAGCGAAAUUCCUUGUCAGGUAAG